rnacentral:tRNA from 1 species
GGGGAUGUAGUUAACAAUAACAUUUAAUUUGCAAUUAAAAAGAACUAAGCUAAAGUCUUCCUCA